AUUGAACGCUGGCGGCAGGCCUAACACAUGCAAGUCGAGCGGAUGAGAGGAGCUUGCUUCUCGAUUCAGCGGCGGACGGGUGAGUAAUGCCUAGGAAUCUGCCUGGUAGUGGGGGACAACGUUUCGAAAGGAACGCUAAUACCGCAUACGUCCUACGGGAGAAAGCAGGGGACCUUCGGGCCUUGCGCUAUCAGAUGAGCCUAGGUCGGAUUAGCUAGUUGGUGAGGUAAUGGCUCACCAAGGCGACGAUCCGUAACUGGUCUGAGAGGAUGGUCAGUCACACUGGAACUGAGACACGGUCCAGACUCCUACGGGAGGCAGCAGUGGGGAAUAUUGGACAAUGGGCGAAAGCCUGAUCCAGCCAUGCCGCGUGUGUGAAGAAGGUCUUCGGAUUGUAAAGCACUUUAAGUUGGGAGGAAGGGUUGUAGAUUAAUACUCUGCAAUUUUGACGUUACCGACAGAAUAAGCACCGGCUAACUCUGUGCCAGCAGCCGCCGUAA
rnacentral:rRNA from 1 species